rnacentral:rRNA from 1 species
UACGAAGGGGGCUAGCGUUGCUCGGAAUCACUGGGCGUAAAGCGCACGUAGGCGGACUCUUAAGUCGGUGGUGAAAUCCUGGAGCUCAACUCCAGAACUGCCUUACGAUACUGAGAGUCUCGAGUCCGAGAGGGGUGAGUGGAACUGCGAGUGGUAGAGGUGAAAUUCGUAGAUAUUCGCAAGAACACCAGUGGCGAAGGCGGCUCACUGGCUCGGUACUGACGCUGAGGUGCGAAAGCGUGGGGAGCAAACAGG